CAGCUUACUAUACUGAUAUCGACGCUGAGGCACGAAAGCGUGGGGAGCGUACAGGAGUAGAUACCCUGGUAGUCCACGCAGUAAACGAUGUUCACUCGCUGUUUGCGAUAUACAGUAAGCGGCUUAGCGAAAGCAUUAAGUGAACCACCUGGGGAGUACGUCGGCAACGCUGAAACUCAAAGGAAUUGACGGGGGCCCGCACAAGCGGAGGAACAUGUGGUUUAAUUCGAUGAUACGCGAGGAACCUUACCUGGGCUUAAAUGUAGGUUGCAUGAGGUGGAAACACCCUUCCCUUCGGGGCUACCUACAAGGUGCUGCAUGGUUGUCGUCAGCUCGUGCCGUGAGGUGUCGGGUUAAGUCCCAUAACGAGCGCAACCCUUACCGUUAGUUGCCAUCAGGUCAAGCUGGGAACUCUAACGGGACUGCCACCGUAAGGUGAGAGGAAGGUGGGGAUGACGUCAAAUCAGCACGGCCCUUAUGUCCAGGGCUACACACGUGUUACAAUGGCCGGUACAGAGGGCAGCUACACCGCGAGGUGGUGCUAAUCCUAAAAGCCGGUCCCAGUUCGGAUCGUAGUCUGCAACCCGACUACGUGAAGUUGGAUUCGCUAGUAAUCGCGCAUCAGCCAUGGCGCGGUGAAUACGUUCCCGGGCCUUGUACACACCGCCCGUCAAACCAUGGAAGCUGGGGGGACCUGAAGUCUGUCACCGAAA
rnacentral:rRNA from 1 species